GAUGAACGCUGGCGGCGUGCCUAAUACAUGCAAGUCGAGCGAAUGGAUUAAGAGCUUGCUCUUAUGAAGUUAGCGGCGGACGGGUGAGUAACACGUGGGUAACCUGCCCAUAAGACUGGGAUAUCGCGGGGAAACCGGGGCAAAUACCGGAUAACAUUUUGAACCGCAUGGAGCGGAAUUGAAAGGCGGCUUCGGCUGACACUGAUGCAUGGACCCGUGUCGCAUAGCUAGUUGGUGAGGUAAAGGCUCACCAAGGCAACGAUGCGUAGCCGACCUGAGAGGGUGAGCGGCCACACUGGGACUGAGACACGGCCCAGAGUCCUACGGGAGGCAGCAGUAGGGAAUCUUCCGCAAUGGACGAAAGUCUGACGGAGCAACGCCGCGUGAGUGAUGAAGGCUUUCGGGUCGUAAAACUCUGUUGUUAGGGAAGAACAAGUGCUAGUUGAAUAAGCUGGCACCUUGACGGUACCUAACCAGAAAGCCACGGCUAACUACGUGCCAGCAGCCGCGGUAA
rnacentral:rRNA from 1 species